ACUUGAAAUUACCUAUCUGCCAUGGGGAUGUACUGCCCUCAGUACUCUCUCAACAAAUCUAGCAGUGCAGGUUCUCUCGUGCACUAAGUAUUUCCGGCGGCGAUGCCUGCUUAUAUAUUUCUGCUUUCAUGUAUUAAACCUUACAACCUGGGACUAUUUCAUGAUAAUAUGUGAACUGAAAGAAAGGUUCAGCUAUUUGUUAUUUUAGCUGAGUUUAAUUUCUUAUUCUCGUUUAGUUCAAAUUCGUAUUCUACUUCAGUUCAUUUUCUAAAAUUUUGUUUAGUGUUAUACAUACCCAAGACUAGAACUCUUGGAUGAUUACAUUAGAUGAGUUAAUUAAUUAAAUAUGUUUUCCAACCUCAGGUGCAACCUUGCCAGCAACGUGUUGACGGUUCCUCUAUUUCUCUUGUUGCUACUCCAAGCCGCAACACCUCAUGCCGUCAUCAUCUCUGCAGGGCCACUGCUCCAACCUGUCCCCUAUCGCAGCCCCACCACUCGUUGCCGAUGCACUCCAACCCGAGGACCUCCAAGAUGGAGGUCGCCUCGCAGCCUAGCGACGAGUUCGAGGACGGACACCCCAGGUUCUCAAGCAGCAAAGUUAUCGCACAAAGUCGAACUUGCUGUUGCACCAUCUUCACCAAGUCAAACUUGCAGCAGCCAGGGGAUCCACAAUUGUUGGGAGCUGUUCAAGUCGAGCUAUUACCGCAGUCCAAGUGUUACUGCGACCACCAUCUUCACCCAGCGCUGCACCCAUUGAGCACCCACACAGUGAGAACGCCAUCUCAUUUUUCUUUGAACAUUUUCUUUCUGAUUCAUGCUCGCGGAUGGAUCAGCUACUAUUCAUUUAGUUUGUACUCUCUGAACUGUGGCUGGGGUUCUUCGCGCGCUAGCGCCGCUGCCGGCCCCGUACAGCUAAGUCCUUGGCCCACUGCACGCCUUGCUGCCCUCGACCUUCCUCUCACAGGCAUGCUACCCCAACUUUCAUUUUGAUUCUCAGUUCAAGUUGUGUGUUCUUUUCGUUGCAUUGUGCUUUAAAUGUGCAAAAUCUUGAGGAAAUCCUGAAAUAUUAUGUGUGCAAUAAAGGUAAUUAAGUGCCUUUAGAAAUUCUGACAGUCCAUCCCAGACUAAGCAAACAAUACAUGUUAGUGUUGGUUUUUUAAGAGAAUUUAGUAUUAGUUGAUCAACAUUUUGAUGCUUUUUCACUAUGUCUGCACUUCGUUAUAGUUAAGCAUUGAUCCAUUUCUCAGCUGCAAGUAAAUAAUGAUCUUGCACUUCAUUAUAAUGCCCUCCCCCUCUGUUUCUCUUCCUCUCUAAAUCCCCUUUCUGUCACUAAUUUAUUUUCUCCCUGAAUGCAGCACGAGGGAGGCUGGAGCGACUGCAGAUCGGUGACAAGAGCCACUUCAGUUCUGUUGUUCGUGUAUUGGAAGUACGUAUCCUCUAUCCGGGCAGGAGAUAGAGAACAAAAAUAAGAUGUAUGGGUUACUUCUUGGCCUAGCUGAGAGAACCCUCAUGUUGAAAAGUAUAAAGAAGUUCCGAAGCAAUUCCUAGUAUCUUUAGAAGCAUUCAUGGUUAAAAGCAACGACAAUCUCCUCCGUUCAAGUUGAGCACUGGUCAUCGUCCAAGUUGAGCGCUAGAUGCCGUCCAAGUUCAAAGAUGGUUGUAUGCAAGUACAGAAGUUUGUUUUAGUGAGAAAAAAUGCGGGUUUUUGGACAAUAUUAUGUAUGUUUGAUUUGCUCAACCUUAGAACUUGGAGAUAUCCACUCUAUUUUUCCAUGAUGAAGGCACA